UAUGGAUUAUUUAUGAGCAGGUGAUGAUUGCAGCUUUGGACUGCAGUCGGGACGACUUGGCUCUGACCUGUCUACAGGAACUGAGAAAGCAGUUUCCAGAUAGCCACAGAGUGAAGCGAUUAUCGGGCAUGAGGCUGGAAGCUUUGGAAAGGUACGAUGAGGCCAACAAGCACUAUGAUGCCAUUCUUCAGGAUGACCCCACAAAUACGG